ACAAAAGAUCAGUGAACUUGAAGCUGCUCUUCAUAAGAAAGAUGAAGAUAUGAAAGCAAUGGAAGAAAGAUAUAAAAUGUACUUAGAGAAAGCCAGAAACGUAAUAAAAACUUUAGAUCCCCAAUUAAAUCCAGCGUCAGCUGAAAUAAUGCUACUUAGAAAGCAGUUGGCAGAGAAAGAGAGAAGAAUUGAGAUUUUGGAGAGUGAAUGUAAAGUAGCAAAAUUCUGUGAUUAUGAAGA